CAUUUCCUGGUGUCGCACAAACUGCUUGUCAACGAAAUCGAGGUUGUGGAGGGAUUUCUAUGUUUGCUGUGUCAAAGGAGGCUGUCGAGGGAUGAAUCGCAUGCUCAUGUAUUCAGUCACGAGCAUGUAACAACAUUUCUGGACUGUUUUCACCCCAACUCACUGAAUCCCAGCACUGACAGCGCAGAGACGCUUCUGGACCUGGCAAAACAGGCGGCACGUAUUCACACAGUGUCUAAUAUUCAGGUAAUAAACCUAAGCCUUCCUAUGUGGGAGCCCUGCACCUACCAAAAAGCAAUAAAAAUCUUAACAGCUGCAAAGCAGAGAGAAGGAAGAGGAGGUCUUUUUCCACCAAUAAAACCCAGGAUGAAGCUGGUUCCCAGAAAAAC